AUUGAACGCUGGCGGAAUGCUUUACACAUGCAAGUCGAACGGCAGCACGGACUUCGGUCUGGUGGCGAGUGGCGAACGGGUGAGUAAUGUAUCGGAACGUGCCAAGUCGUGGGGGAUAAGGUAGUAAAAAUUGAGCUAAAACCGCAUACGAGCUAGUCAUGAAAGCGGAGGAUCGCAAGACCUCGCGCGAUUGGAGCGGCCGAUAUGUGAUAAGGUAGUUGGUGGGGUAAAGGACCACCAAGCCAACGAUCUGUAGCUGGUCUGAGAGGAAGACCAGCGACACUGGAACUGAGACACGGUCCAGACUCCUACGGGAGGCAGCAGUGGGGAAUUUUGGACAAUGGGCGAAAGCCUGAUCCAGCCAUUCCGCGUGCAGGAUGAAGGCCCUCGGGUUGUAAACUGCUUUUGUACAGAACGAAAAGGUUUCUACUAAUACUAGGAGCUCAUGACGGUACUGUAAGAAUAAGCACCGGCUAACUACGUGCCAGCAGCCGCGGUAA
rnacentral:rRNA from 1 species